UUUUUUUUUUUUUUUUUUUUUUUAAGAACAGUUGUGUGGUGUGGAAAUUGUGGUGUUCCAGAACUAAUGCUCACAGUAGGUAGAAGAGAAAGCUCACAAGCUGCAAUCAGUAUUAAAUGCUCAAGAAACGAGAUAUUAGAGAUGGUGGUGCAGGACAGGACACUGAACACUACAAUAAAUCACUUUUAUUGAGGUAAGGUUGUUGCUCCUGUGUUUUAGUAGGAUUUGAGACAAAAGGAAAGCAGGUCUGUCCUGACAGUCAUAUUAAUGCUUUUGGUAUGUUUUCAGUUCCACCACUGAACAUCUAGACUCCUACAUUCCAAAUCAUAAAUUAUUUCUAAAUUACAUAUUAACACUGUUUUUCUGUCCCAAGUUAAGUCUACCUGUGGAGGUGGGACAUGGUGCCCAUCAGAGAGGGCAAGAUGAUACUGAUCACUUCUCUGACCCUUCUUUUUCCCUGUGAAAUUCAGGAGCUCCUGCCAAGCUCAGAAGUGUGUGAGCUGUACAUCUUGUAGCUGCUUUGGCAAAUGCUUUGGCUUCUAGGUCCAGGGAGCUGCUCUCUAGUAAAGAAGGGGUCCCAACAGCUGUCUGCAGCUACCCAAUGGGGUGAUCAGAGGGGAGGCAGACAAAGGGACAGGAGUAGCUCUCACAAUUUGAAACACAGCAUGUUGAGGUUACAGAUGUAAGGAAAGACAUUUUUCAUAUGUGGUCCAGUAGUCAAACAUUGGAAGCAGCUGGGAAUGUCAGUCUUCAGACUCAGCUGGACAUGAUCCUGAGCCUAAUCUAACUUUGAAGUCAGCAAUUCUUUCAGGAAGAUCUUAGCCAAAAUAACCUCAAGAGGUCCCUGCUGACACUAAUUCUGUAAAUUCAUUAUUAUGUCAUAUAUCCUACAUAACACAGGUAUCCACUCUGAAUACCUCUACCUGAUCUAUUAAUCACAGGUAAUAGUAAGGAGGAAAGAGAUCAGAUUAAAGUAUAAGAUGAAGGGAGCAACACAGACACAACUUUGCUUCUGAAAUAUUUUUCAUUGACUUCUAAGAAGAAAUUGGGAAUUGAAUUCAGGAUAAGACAUUCUACACAUCUCAGAGGAGAAUAUAUCCAAAGUAAAACUUGAAGAUAAGGACCAUAAAUUUUUGUGUGAUGUCUAUUCAUAUGAUUCAAACACAGGAUACUGCCUGAGUGUGUUGGUGAAAGUAGUUGAUGAAAUGAAUUAUUUCGGCUGGGAUGAUCAGAAAGACCAGGAAACGCCCUCUAACAGAAGGUUUGUGAGACAACUGGAAAUAUCACUAAAAAGGGACUGGACCUAACAUCAGCAAAAGUACAGAAGAGAUUCAUCCUACAUUUUUUAUGAGAUCAGUGGAAAAUCUAAGAUGUUUGCUUUAUUGUUAAAGUAAGAAGUAACUUGUAAAAGCUGAAGAACAGUCUUCAGAAAUGUGUGAGCAUAUAUAUGCAUCACAUAAAUGAUGAACUGCAGCCUGUGGCUUAAUAUAAGCCGUGUGGAAAACUAAAAAGUUCAGAAAAUUACACUGCUCAUAUGGGGUAUUCUUUUUUUGAGUGUUACUACCAUUUGGUUUUUUGGGUUGGGUUUUUUUUUGUUUGUUUGUUUUUGCUAGGUUUUUUUUGUCCCUCACACUGGCAGGAUCACUGUUUUCUUAAUACAUAAUUAGGUGAUUUCCUUUUGUAGCACUUCAAGAACAUUAUUUUUCUGCAGUUCAUUAAGUCCCUGACUUCUUACAAAGGCAAGAGUAAUGAAUAAAGAUAUAAGAUUUAAUUUUUCAUGUCUUUUAACACUUCUUUGGCAUGUUUUUUUGGUCAGUUCUGUUACAGUGAUAGUUCUGGGAUUGGAUUAUAAUUAACUAGGGACAGUAAAAGACCCAAACUGCAACAAUCCAGUAUGAGUUAGACUAUUAAAUUGAUUAAAAGCAAGAGGAGACACUCUGACAUCUAACUCCCUACUCACCACCAUUACCUCCCUCCAUCACACAGAUAUUUUCUUUUAGUAAGAGUUUGCAUUUUUGUUUUUCUUUUGGCAGUGUUUAUCUUAUGGCUCUCUGUGGUUCUCUGUCUACUUGCAUCUCACAAAGAGUAUAGCACGGUUAUAAUGGUCAUGUAAUUGGCCAGUAUGGUAUUGUAAAUAAGUAAAACUAAUUCCCUGGACAAAUAGAUGUUGUAUAGCAUUAGAUACACUUGAGUGCAAAUAAAGAAUUUGAUUAUGUUUCUCCCUCCUGCCUGUGAAAAACAGUUCCCUUAAGUCUUUUAUCUAAUAUCAUAUGGCUUAAGUGCUGAGGCUCCUGGCAAUUGCCUUGCAGGACUAUUCCUCAUCUAAGAGACAUCUGCAACCCAUGACUCACUAGCAGUCUACUGAGAAUUCCUGUGCACUAAUUUCCAUCCCCAGCUCCUAAUUUAUAUCUCAGGCUACUCUAAGCAGUAUCUUUCAACUUUUCAUUUCUCCAAGGAAAUUCAUCAAAUAUAUUCAUGCACAAGGGUAGGAACCAGCCUAUGGCUCAGAGAAAGGCAUCUCAGAGGCCACUUUUGAUAUCUCUUCAUGAUCCUUUGCUGAGGAAUCACUGUUAGUUGAAGCAGUACUUGGGCUGUGCUACGGGUGUCAGCUUAGGUGUAGAUGCACUUGCAACAUGGGAGAAAGGGGCUAUAGUCACAUAAAAAGUUGUGAGAUGUUCAGCAUAAGACUCUGCCUCUCUGCACUUGCUUGGAGGAAUGUAGCAUAGGUUUGAACUCUAGGUUUGAGACUGGAUCACCUCUUUGUCAAGUAAGAGAUUAAUCCAAGGAGCUUCUGUUCAUCCUUUCUGCAUUUCACACUAGGCACAGGGAGAAAACAUCCCGUCCAUGUUUGGCAUUUGCAAGCUAAUGCUUGUACAGAAGAAUUAGGAAGGCUGGAAGGGGUUCUCUGCUGCCUGUGCCUCUCAUUUCUAUUGCAUUGGUUCAAGAGCUGCAGAAAUUGCUAAUCACUGAAGUGAGCUGAGAGAAAUAUAAGUAAUGUUAUAUAUUAGUUAUGCUUAAUAAAAUGAAAGGCAUCUGUCAGUUCAAGUUCUGCAUUUCCCAAGAAGUUAAGAAAUAACUAAUAUGAAACUGCAGCAGAGGCAGUACAGAAGUCCUGUUUCAGUCAACAAAGAUGUCUGUAUUAAAAGGACAUUAUUCUGAGCUCACAUUAGGCUAAUUCCCUCCUGUCCAUUCCUAAUAGAUUGAAUGCUAGGAGUCAAAGGCCACUUGACCUUGUAAAUUUGGAUCACCCAUUUGAAGAAAACAAAAUCUAACAAUGCAGGGUCUUUCUGAUAUAAGUAAAUAAGGUUCUGAUAUAAGUAAAUACGUAGACUAGCUGCUCCUAUUAAACUGAUGUUCCAUGGUGCUGCUUUACAGAAAUACUGAGGCAGCCUUUUCUGUAACAAUCAUUUAACCUAAGAGUGCAAGCUAUUCGGAGCACUCAACAGCAACCUCUGCUUCUGCCUGUUCUCAGGGGUUUGAACAGAAGCAAUUUGUUUUAUGGGACAUGGCAUCUCUCCUGCCCUGCUCCUGCAAAGAAUUGGCCUUUUGUACAGCCCCUCUGUGCGUGCUUGGUGCCAGCAGAUUGCCUUUCUUGGCACACAGCGUUUCAGAGGGAAUGUACACGGCUCUGUUUCGCCUGACAGACAUUUUAUUCAUGUAGGGCUGAUUUGCCUCAUUAGCCAUCAGUCCAAGAAAGUGUGAUGCAUCAGAGUCCUGGCUCCAAGUUAGCCCAGGGAAACUGUUAUCCAAGGCAGCUUCUUGGGGAAUGUCCUCUCCCCAACUUUUCCUCUACAGAGCAAGGGGAUGCGUGUUGUACUUCUCCCUGCAGAGGGAAGGCCCUACUCCACUCCUUGUGCCCAGUAGCCCAUCUGGCUGGCAAGACCUGGCAUACACAGGCUGCUCCUUCCGCAGCCUUGCUCUGUGAGGCAGAGUUAUAAAGGGAAGGAAAACAGUAUGUGUUGAGAAUUGAAGCAAAGUGGUUAUGGUACGUGCAUGAGAUGACCCCAUGGCUCUGAUACAGGCCAGUAAGGCAUACUAAGGCUUCAAAGAAGAGUAAUUACAAUCAAUUACUGAAUCUAAGGUCACAAGAGGCUGUAAUUACCUCUCUGAUCUCCUGUACUAUACAGUGCACAGGCCAUCUAUUAAGAUUAUAAUAAUGAUUAUAGUUGUUAAUGCUGUUAUUUUAGAAAAAACAUCCAUCUUCAUAUCAAAACUUCCAGGGAUGCAAAAGCCCUGGUAAAGUGUUCACUUGGCACUUACUCCAGCUUGCUUAAUUACCAGUGCCAGACAAGGUGUAAAUUUAUCAGCUAAAUUCAAUAACCCUCUACUAUCAGUUUCUGGUCUGCAGUAAGUAUUGAUAGACCUGGGCAAGAACAUCCUGUAUGUUUGUGUAUGUCUACUUGUGGUUAAACAAUGCAGAGGAAAGGUCUUCACUCUGUCAAGACAAAGGGCUUGAGUUGAUAGAGCUCUGCUGAUAAGGUUUUGCUUUCCUGGCGCUGCUUGAAAAUGCCAGGUCAUGACCCUCCUUUUGUCCUUUGCUUGGUAAGGGCCAGUGUAUCAUUUUCUGUUGAAUUGCAGUUAACAGCAUACCCUGCUUUCCUAGUUCUGUACAGAUAAUACAGAGAUCCUCUCUGCAUCUUUGUACAUGGGUGUAUACAAUUACAGUGGAAAAGAACUUAGAGGCAAAAGGCAUUAAUUAAUGUGUCUAUAAAUUUCCCAGGAGGGACUAACGUAAGAAACCUGGUCUUCAAAGUGCCUUUGUUUUAGACCUUGUUUAAUCUCUGCUUUCUUCCUGGUUGCAUUGGUAUAAUUUUAAUGGGUAAUUACUAUAAAAAACCAGACUUUCUCUCUGUACAAGUUUUAUUAACAAAUCAAAUAUUAUAUCAGAAUGGGGAAUGCACAUAAAAAAAUAUGUUGUUAUAUACUACAAUUACAUUCAUAACCAAGAAUAGUUACUAAAAUAUUUUGGAAACAGAAUUGUUAGAAUUGUGAAUAUAACCAAAGCACAAAACCAUAAAAAAAUUUAAAAGGUUUGUUAUAGUGAUAUAGUGACUUUUCAGAAGGCUCCUUCCACACAGGGAACUGAGGCUCCUUCAUUUACUGUAUAUGUUCAAAUGUACAUUUCUGUUUGCAACUUUCCUUCCAUACAUUUUGAUCCUAUUAACCAACCUAGCCAAUCUAAUUUUUCUGGGGUGGAGGGUGGGGGACAGGAAAAUGCUAUAUAUAUUGUUAUACUCAGUGAACAUUAGCAAAUGGAAACAGAGACCUCUUAAGUUCUCCAGCUGGGAGAACAGCACAGCUCGCACCUUAUUAGACACCAGACAAUACAAAGCAGCAGAAUCAGCGAGCACAUCUUUGGAAAACUUCAAUUGACAAUGAGACAUAAAUCUGCUGGAAGCAGCACUUGCUCCAUGCUGCUGUUCAGAGGGCUGCUCAGCACAGCGCAUCCCUCGGGCUUUGCUGGAGGGGCAGGAAACACAAAGUGCUCCCACUGCAGUGGAGAUGCUGUCCUACAAGCUGGGUCUCCAUGUCAGCAGAGAUCAAUUGCACUUGUAACCUUAAAUUUCAUUAGUGCUAUAUCUGUCUUCACAGCUAUGGAAAAAAUACUUCUUCCUUUUGGUGAAUUUUGCAGACUGUGGGCCACAGCUCUUGGCAAAGCUCUCACUGAUUCACAGCCAGAGAAGAAACCUCAUCACAUGUUGUAGUUUUUACAAGCUCUUUGAAUUUUUAACUCAUUCUAACAAUCCAGUUGACUUGUUAAAAAUUGUAAGUCAAGUAAACACAUAUUAAUAUGAAAGUGUCUGAACAUCUCCUCUGGCAAAAAGUAAGAAAGGAAAAAAACAGCAGAGGAGAGAGAGAUUGAAAUGUAGUCACCUCCUGCACUGUAUAAAGUAAAUAAGAAUGUGGAUGACAUCAUGUAUGACCUAAACCAGUGGCAAAAUAAUGAAAUGCCUUUGCUGACAGGAAGAAGAACUGAUCCAUACCUCAGAUAUCUGACUCUGUUAAUUUAAAAUUUGCUAUCUUCAGCUGAAAAAAAUGUUAAAAUUCCCAGUGUCCACAUUUUAUUUCUGGUGGUCAUAAAUCAAACCCACACAAAAAUGAGGUGAUCAAAAUGCACCAGAUAGCUGGAGAAAUGAGACAGGGAUGCUUAAUAGUGUUGUGAUGAGAAGUAAAAUUGUCAAAGAUUGCAGUUCUGUAGUUUUAUAUGAAGAGAGAAAUCCACAAAAUAAUAAAUUUUCAUUUUCGCAUUCUUCUGCAAAAGGCUCAAGCCUCUCAUUUCACAUAUUUUAAUUUCAAACUGACAUAAGCUAAGCUAAAUAUUCUGGUUUUGUUGAAAACCUGAAUACUCCUGCUCCUGAAACUCCUACUAAAGUAAAGCAUCUUGUAGUGUGGAUUGGGUUAAGGAUAAAUACUUUUCUUCUUUAGGAGAAAUCUGUCUUGAAAUAGUAUUUUCCUUUUCAUCUGUCUAGAGGCAGAGAUCUCUAAACCCAGCCAGAAGGUGCUACAAGUUGUAAUUGCUGGAAGGUCUGAGCUCCUCCAUAUGUGGUGGCUUUAAUGUUCGGUGCUCUGGUUUUAUCACAGCCAACUGCUCAGCCUGGAGAACAGAAGGCUCAGGGAGCUCUUACCAAAGUGUAUAAAAACCUGAGGUGGGGCCAGGGAAAAAAGACAAAGCCUGAGACUUCUCAGUGCUGUGAACUGACAGGGCAAGAAUCAAUGAAUUCUGAAAUACAGAAAAUUCUGAUAAUUAUUAUAAAGACUUUUAUUUUUACUGUGCAGGUGGUCUGCAGAAACACUGCAAAAUGCUUCCCAGAGAGGCUGUGGAGUCUCCUUUAAUAAGAUAUUCAAAAGUGUACUGGAUGAGCUAUGGGUAAUCUUCUCUCACUGACUUUGCUUAAGCAGGGGCUGGACCAGAUGAGCUCAGAGAUGUCCACCAGCCUUUACCACGAUUCUGUGAAAUGGCUUCUUCUCUACCAGCCCUUUUUAUGAAAUUCUGAAAGCUGCCUGGCACACUGAGUGCCAUCCAGUGAUCAGUUCAAAGGAA
ensembl:lncRNA